rnacentral:rRNA from 1 species
UACGGAGGGUGCAAGCGUUAUCCGGAUUCACUGGGUUUAAAGGGUGCGUAGGUGGGCAGGUAAGUCAGUGGUGAAAUCUCCGGGCUUAACCCGGAAACUGCCGUUGAUACUAUCUGUCUUGAAUAUAGUGGAGGUGAGCGGAAUAUGUCAUGUAGCGGUGAAAUGCUUAGAUAUGACAUAGAACAUCGAUUGCGAAGGCAGCUCGCUACGCUAUUAUUGACGCUGGGGCACGAAAGCGUGGGGAGCGAACAGG